GCUCAGGAUGAACGCUAGCUACAGGCUUAACACAUGCAAGUCGAGGGGCAUCAGGAAGAAAGCUUGCUUUCUUUGCUGGCGACCGGCGCACGGGUGAGUAACACGUAUCCAACCUGCCCUUUACUCGGGGAUAGCCUUUCGAAAGAAAGAUUAAUACCCGAUGGCAUAAUGAUUCCGCAUGGUUUCAUUAUUAAAGGAUUCCGGUAAAGGAUGGGGAUGCGUUCCAUUAGGUUGUUGGUGAGGUAACGGCUCACCAAGCCUUCGAUGGAUAGGGGUUCUGAGAGGAAGGUCCCCCACAUUGGAACUGAGACACGGUCCAAACUCCUACGGGAGGCAGCAGUGAGGAAUAUUGGUCAAUGGGCGGUAGCCUGAACCAGCCAAGUAGCGUGAAGGAUGAAGGCUCUAUGGGUCGUAAACUUCUUUUAUAUAAGAAUAAAGUGCAGUAUGUAUACUGUUUUGUAUGUAUUAUAUGAAUAAGGAUCGGCUAACUCCGUGCCAGCAGCCGCGGUAAUACGGAGGAUCCGAGCGUUAUCCGGAUUUAUUGGGUUUAAAGGGAGCGUAGGUGGACUGGUAAGUCAGUUGUGAAAGUUUGCGGCUCAACCGUAAAAUUGCAGUUGAUACUGUCAGUCUUGAGUACAGUAGAGGUGGGCGGAAUUCGUGGUGUAGCGGUGAAAUGCUUAGAUAUCACGAAGAACUCCGAUUGCGAAGGCAGCUCACUGGACUGCAACUGACACUGAUGCUCGAAAGUGUGGGUAUCAAACAGGAUUAGAUACCCUGGUAGUCCACACAGUAAACGAUGAAUACUCGCUGUUUGCGAUAUACAGUAAGCGGCCAAGCGAAAGCAUUAAGUAUUCCACCUGGGGAGUACGCCGGCAACGGUGAAACUCAAAGGAAUUGACGGGGGCCCGCACAAGCGGAGGAACAUGUGGUUUAAUUCGAUGAUACGCGAGGAACCUUACCCGGGCUUAAAUUGCAGUGGAAUGAUGUGGAAACAUGUCAGUGAGCAAUCACCGCUGUGAAGGUGCUGCAUGGUUGUCGUCAGCUCGUGCCGUGAGGUGUCGGCUUAAGUGCCAUAACGAGCGCAACCCUUAUCUUCAGUUACUAACAGGUCAUGCUGAGGACUCUGGAGAGACUGCCGUCGUAAGAUGUGAGGAAGGUGGGGAUGACGUCAAAUCAGCACGGCCCUUACGUCCGGGGCUACACACGUGUUACAAUGGGGGGUACAGAAGGCAGCUAGCGGGUGACCGUAUGCUAAUCCCAAAAUCCUCUCUCAGUUCGGAUCGAAGUCUGCAACCCGACUUCGUGAAGCUGGAUUCGCUAGUAAUCGCGCAUCAGCCACGGCGCGGUGAAUACGUUCCCGGGCCUUGUACACACCGCCCGUCAAGCCAUGGGAGCCGGGGGUACCUGAAGUACGUAACCGCAAGGAUCGUCCUAGGGUAAAACUGGUGACUGGGGCUAAGUCGUAACAAGGUAGCCGUACCGGAAGGUGCGGCUG
rnacentral:rRNA from 1 species